UCCCCGCGCGUGCUCCGCUUCCAAUCCUCCUCGCGGGGUUGCUGCGCCAGAGCCCACACCCGCCCAACCCUAGCCGCCACACCUCUCCUUCCUCCCUCGCUUGACACCAUAGGCGCUGCACCCCUCCCCUCCUCCUGCUCGGGCGGAUAGCCGCCGGCCGCCGCAUCCCUUCUCCCCCUUCCUCCUCCUUCCUCCUUCCCGCUGGCGCCCAUCGCCCUCGUCCUCGGACAAGGGGCCUUCCACAGGGAUGGCCAUGUCUUAAAACCAGGGGUAGAGGAGCAGGGGAGGGCCAAGAAGCCGGCACUGGGGGUGGAGGACCCAGGUGGUGGACGCGUCAUGGGGUUAAGGACAGGCCGAUGAUAGGGUUAAGUAGGAGGAGUGCCAUGGAUCUGCAGGGAAAGGAGGGCGACGCCCUCGGCGGGCGUCCGAGAAGGAAGCCGGCGGGGAGCACGUCACCGUAGGCGUCAAGGGAGCCAUGGACAAGCCGCCAGGAGGAGAAAGCUCCCAGUUUGUGGAGGAGACUAUGUGACAGGUGUGUUUCUUCCUGUUUUUCUAACCCCUUUUCUCAUCUUUCCAUGAUGACCUGCAAAUUUUUCAAGUUUUUCAGGUGGUGUUUUGGAAUCUAGAUUGAUUUGGUACUGUAUGUUGUGUGAUGUGCCCUUGCCAAGAAUAUUUGAUGUGUGUGAUGACACAAGCAAUUGUAGAGGAGUGAACACCAUGCUCGAUUAGUGGACUGCCGCUUGAGAAGAAGCUUGUCAUUUGUCUCUUCGAGCCACGGAGGAUAGGGGCCUUCGAAGAACUUGGGGUUUGACAUAGCCAUCGAGGAAGUGCAGGAUACAAACCAAGUGUAAUCAAAGAGGAUAUGGAUUCAGUAUGGCCAUGAGGGAAGGAAUGUUACUCCAAUUUGGAUCUUGGAGAAUGCUUUCUCAGUGUGGUUCAGGUUAAAUUGUUGUCCUACUGUUCCUGCUCAGCCUCCUAAUGUUCUAUGUCUUGGCCGCGCCUUCUUCCAGCUUCUCUAUUGGUUUUCUCUUCACACCGAUGUAAGUGCAUAUUCCUCCCUUCCUCCAAAUCUUCUCCAGCCAUGGUUGUUUGCAUCUGGUCACAGUUGUUUCAUGUUUCACUUCCGUUGGUGGUUCACGCGUCGGCCUUAGUGCUCUAAGCAAACCAGCAUUUCUCAUCUUGGCGAUUGUAUUAUUGGGGCUUUGCUACAUCUGUAGGUUUGAAUCUCAUGUGGCUCUGCGCCCAGCCACCAUCUCCUCCCUAGCUAAGCAAGAGGUUCAAAGGCCACCGCUACCUCUUCCUUGCCGCCCAGCAGGAGGGGCACUAGGAAAAUUACAUAUCAGGAGAGCCAUUUAUUAGAGGAUCUUCUAAAAGGCUUUUUAUAUUUGGUUCCUCAUGUUCUGCUUCUCGGGGUUUGCUCACUUCCUUUCUAGCUAGAAAUACCAUAUUUUCCUCUCUACGUGUACUGUCUUGGUAUUUGGCUCGUUGCUCGUCUUAAUAUUCCGGAUUUAGCGGGGCAUCAUGUUUUGUUUAGCCUCAUGCUCCUAAGUGUAUCUCACAUUGUAUAGGAACCUGUCCUACGGGGACCUUGCCUUUUAUGCUUCUUCUUGAUAAUAGAAGUAUUGAAUAUACUUGUUUCUUCUGCUCAAACAUUUUGGCUAAGUGGCAAUAUUCCAAAUAAAUGGAUGUAUCUCAAACAAAGGAGAUGUCUGAUGCAGUGAGUCGAAGUCGCUUAAUCGAGGAGAAAUUAGGCUUGUGACGCAAUUAUAUGGUUAGCAGGAAAGUUUUAAACCUGAAAAAUCAGACGAAACUCUGGCAAUAUUACGUUCUAUAAAUGAUUUGGCAAUUGCAUUCAGUAUCAGGUUGUGUUCAUAAUUUUGUACUUGACAGUUGUAGCUUUGAACCUACAUAGUGUUGGCAGUUGCUUGAUGAAGCCAAACUUACAACUCGAUAUUUUUAAUUUAUGCUGCAACUUGAUUAGGAAUUUCCUAUGUUAAGUUGGAACCACACAAAUUCUUAUCACGUCAUGGCUUGCUUGGGAUUCAAUUGCAGGAAGAAACUGUAUUGAACUUGCUUAAUUUUUCUUCAGAAAUAGUAUUGAAUCGGCUACUUGUUGGCAAUUUCAUGUUACAAAGUCGUCAUUAAGCGAAGAGAUAGGGUAUUGAUUUGGCUAACUCACGAAACUAAACACUCAAUUCGAGAAAUUUCAUUGGGAAUUCAUAUCCGUAUGAUUGAUUUUGUAAUGGGGAAUGGUGAUUGCAGCAGGCAGGGGUCGACGAGGCAAAGGGGGAUGGAGAAGUGGUCGAGCUGGAGGCGUACAGGCAGGGCACCCAGAAGACGGAGCUGUGCAACAAGUGGGAGGGCGGCGCCUGCUCCUGCGGCGGCCGGUGCCGGUUCGCGCAUGGCCUGCAGGAUGAUGGUUUCUUAAUUUCGUUGACUAACCAGGGAGUUCAAGGAUGAUGACUGGAAGUUUUGUCAUUACUGGUUAACACUUGGCGACGAUGUGUCCAUCAGAAAUGAUCCGAUUAUCCUCUGUUGUAUUAUAUUUCCUACUUUUUUGUAAAUAUGUAUGGAUGUACAUGCAUGCUCUUUCGAUGUCUGAAAAUGACCAGCAUCCCUCGGUGGGCAAAGAUGAUUUUGUUGAACAGUUUUAGUAUAUGUUACAUACCAUAUUCUUUCCAAUGUAGAAGGUAGCAGCUGACUCUGCAUUGCCGUGGUGCUUA